rnacentral:rRNA from 1 species
AGGGGAGUGAAAGAGAACCUGAAACCUUGUGCUUACAAACAGUCAAAGGACGCAAGUCUGAUGGCGUACUUUUUGUAGAACGGUCCGGCGAGUUACUAAUGCCAGCGAGGUUAAGUGGUCAGAAGCCACGGAGCCGAAGGGAAACCAAGUCUGAAUAGGGCGUAGAGUUGGUAUUAGUAGACCCGAAACCGGGUGACCUAUCCAUGUCCAGGUUGAAGGAACCGUAAAAGGUUUUGGAGGACCGAACACACAUGUGUUGAAAAACGUGGUGAUGAGGUGUGGAUAGCGGAGAAAUUCCAAUCGAACUCGGAGAUAGCUGGUUCUCCUCGAAAUAGCUUUAGGGCUAGCCUCGAGCUGGAGUCUAACGGAGGUAAAGCACUGAACUGACGCGGGGCCCAAAAAGGUUACCAACUCAUAUCAAACUAAGAAUGCCGUCAAGAUACCCUCGGGAGUCAGUCUGCGUGAGAUAAGUCGCGUGGACAAAAGGGAAAGAGCCCAGACCGACAGCUAAGGUCCCAAAGUACGUGUUAAGUGGAAAAGGAUGUGGGAUUUCAUAGACAACUAGGAUGUUGGCUUAGAAGCAGCCAUACAUUUAAAGAGUGCGUAAUAGCUCACUAGUCGAGAAAACCUGCGCCGAAAAUGUAACGGGGCUAAAACACGACACCGAAGCUACGGAUUUCCUACAAGGUAGGAAGUGGUAGAGGAGCAUCCUGCAAGGACGAAGCCAAAGUGAGAGCGAUGGUGGACGAAACAGGAGAGAGAAUGCCGGAAUGAGUAGCGAGAUACAUGUGAGAAACAUGUAGGCCGAAUAUCUAAGGAUUCCUGGGUAAAGCUAAUCUUCCCAGGGUUAGUCGGGGCCUAAGGCGAGGACGAAAGUCGUAGUCGAUGGAUAACAGGUUGAUAUUCCUGUACUACACAUAAUCAGAACUGUGGGGACGCAGGAGGAUAGGGAAACCGGGGAAUGGAAAGACCCGGUCAAGCGUAAAGCUGUGGGAGAUAGGCAAAUCCGUCUCUUGUAAGUGAAACGUGAUGAGGACUGAAAAAAAGUAAGGAAGUUUCCGAAUCCACACUGCCGAGAAAAGCCGCUAUUGCGUUAUGUGUACCCGUACCGUAAACCGACACAGGUAGAUGAGGAGAAAAUCCACAGGCCGACGGGAGAAGUGUUGUUAAGGAACUCGGCAAAAUGACCCCGUAACUUCGGGAUAAGGGGAGCCUCGCAAGAGGCCGCAGAAAAGAGGCACAAGCAACUGUUUAGCAAAAACACAGGUCUAUGCGAAACCGUAAGGUGAAGUAUAUGGGCUGACGCCUGCCCGGUGCUGGAAGGUUAAGAGGAGAGGUUAGCGCAAGCGAAGCUUUGAAUUUAAGCCCCAGUAAACGGCGGCCGUAACUAUAACGGUCCUAAGGUAGCGAAAUUCCUUGUCAGGUAAGUUCUGACCCGCACGAAAGGCGUAAUGAUUUGUGCACUGUCUCGACAACACGCCCGGUGAAAUUGAAGAACCAGUGAAGAUACUGGUUACCCGCAACAGGACGGAAAGACCCCAUGGAGCUUUACUGCAGCCUGAUACUGGGAUUCGAUGAUAUAUGUACAGGAUAGGUGGGAGGCUAAGAAGCGAGAACGCUAGUUUUCGUGGAGCCGCCGGUGGGAUACCACUCUUAUGUCAUUGAAUUUCUAACCUGCAUCCGUAAUCCGGGUGAGGGACAAUGUCAGGCGGGCAGUUUGACUGGGGCGGUCGCCUCCUAAAAGGUAACGGAGGCGCUCGAAGGUCACCUCAGAAUGAUUGGAAACCAUUCAAAGAGUGUAAAGGCAAAAGGUGGCUUGACUGCGAGAGCGACGGCUCGAGCAGGUACGAAAGUAGGACUUAGUGAUCCGGUGGUAAUAAGUGGGAAUGCCAUCGCUCAACGGAUAAAAGCUACCCUGGGGAUAACAGGCUUAUCACUCCCA